AUGCCGCCCGGUCCUCCGCCUGUGCUUGGAUUACUUCCUCGAACCACUGUUCCUGCUCGGCACGCACCUGAAGGAGGGCCUGAGGGUCCCACUGUGAAGCCCUCCGUGUCUCUGCUCCAUCCAUCGUUUCUGCAGCUCUCUGAGGGACCGGCCUCACUGCUCUGCCUGCUCUCUGCCUACUCUCCACAGGGGGCGACAGUGAGCUGGACAGUGGAUGGCUCAGUGGUGAAUGAAGGGGUUCUAACCAGCCCUGAAGAACAGAAGAAGGACGGUUACACACGCAGCAGCACCCUGACCCUCAGCAAAGCACUCUGGGAAAAGGGGGAGGAGUUUGUCUGUACCGUCUCCCAUGACAGUGUCAAUCAUCCGGUCACGUUCAGAAAGAGCCAGUGUGAAGACUAA